rnacentral:rRNA from 1 species
GACGAACGCUGGCGGCGUGCUUAACACAUGCAAGUCGAACGGAAAGGCCCUUCGGGGUGCUCGAGUGGCGAACGGGUGAGUAACACGUGGGUGAUCUGCCCUGCACUUUGGGAUAAGCCUGGGAAACUGGGUCUAAUACCGAAUAGGACUCCGGACUGCAUGGUCUGGGGUGGAAAGCUUUUGCGGUGUGGGAUGGGCCCGCGGCCUAUCAGCUUGUUGGUGGGGUGAUGGCCUACCAAGGCGACGACGGGUAGCCGGCCUGAGAGGGUGACCGGCCACACUGGGACUGAGAUACGGCCCAGACUCCUACGGGAGGCAGCAGUGGGGAAUAUUGCACAAUGGGCGCAAGCCUGAUGCAGCGACGCCGCGUGGGGGAUGACGGCCUUCGGGUUGUAAACCUCUUUCAGCACAGACGAAGCGCAAGUGACGGUAUGUGCAGAAGAAGCACCGGCCAACUACGUGCCAGCCGCCGCGGUAAGAC